rfam:Oryctolagus cuniculus cont2.37544, whole genome shotgun sequence.
GCGGUUAAGCCGGGAAAAGCGAGGCUAGUUUGGGAGGAAAGAGAACCCUUGGGGAAAACACCCGGAGCCUGCCUAUACUCUGGCCGGAGCAUCCCGGCGCCCAGUUGAGGGAGAAAGAGGAAUGGAAAUGGGGAGGGUUCGGAU